UACGAAGGGGGCUAGCGUUGCUCGGAAUGACUGGGCGUAAAGGGCGCGUAGGCGGCUUGCACCGUCAGAUGUGAAAUUCCUGGGCUUAACCUGGGGGCUGCAUUUGAUACGUGUGGGCUUGAGUGCGGAAGAGGGUCGUGGAAUUCCCAGUGUAGAGGUGAAAUUCGUAGAUAUUGGGAAGAACACCGGUGGCGAAGGCGGCGACCUGGUCCGUGACUGACGCUGAGGCGCGAAGGCUCGGGGAGCGAACGGG
rnacentral:rRNA from 1 species